rnacentral:rRNA from 1 species
ACGGGAGGCAGCAGUGGGGAAUAUUGCACAAUGGGCGAAAGCCUGAUGCAGCCAUGCCGCGUGUGUGAAGAAGGCCUUCGGGUUGUAAAGCACUUUCAGCGAGGAGGAAAGGGAUGUAGUUAAUAACUGCAUUCUGUGACGUUACUCGCAGAAGAAGCACCGGCUAACUUCGUGCCAGCAGCCGCGGUAAUACGAGGGGUGCAAGCGUUAAUCGGAAUUACUGGGCGUAAAGCGUGCGUAGGUGGUUUGUUAAGCAAGAUGUGAAAGCCCCGGGCUCAACCUGGGAACUGCAUUUUGAACUGGCAAACUAGAGUAUUGUAGAGGGUAGUGGAAUUUCCAGUGUAGCGGUGAAAUGCGUAGAGAUUGGAAGGAACAUCAGUGGCGAAGGCGGCUACCUGGACAAAUACUGACACUGAGGCACGAAAGCGUGGGGAGCAAACAGGAUUAGAUACCCUGGUAGUCCACGCCGUAAACGAUGUCAACUAGCCGUCUGUGACCUUGAGUCGUGGGUGGCGCAGCUAACGCACUAAGUUGACCGCCUGGGGAGUACGGCCGCAAGGUUAAAACUCAAAUGAAUUGACGGGGGCCCGCACAAGCGGUGGAGCAUGUGGUUUAAUUCGAUGCAACGCGAAGAACCUUACCAUCCCUUGACAUCCAGAGAAGAGACUAGAGAUAGACUUGUGCCUUCGGGAACUCUGUGACAGGUGCUGCAUGGCUGUCGUCAGCUCGUGUUGUGAAAUGUUGGGUUAAGUCCCGCAACGAGCGCAACCCCUAUCCUUAUUUGCCAGCGCGUAAUGGCGGGAACUCUAAGGAGACUGCCGGUGAUAAACCGGAGGAAGGUGGGGACGACGUCAAGUCCUCAUGG